ensembl:snRNA U6 U6 spliceosomal RNA
AUGUUUAUUUUGGCAGCACAUACACUAAAAUUGGAACAAUACAGAGAAAAUUAGCAUUGCCACUGUGCAAGGAGGACAUGCAAAUUCAUGAAGCAUUCCAUAUUUUU